UCCGAUGUAGCACAACCGGUUAGUGCGUCCGCCUGAUACGCGGAAGGCUGGUGGUUCGAGUCCAUCCAUCGGGACCA
rnacentral:tRNA from 1 species